rnacentral:misc_RNA from 1 species
UCUCCGUAGGUGAUCCUGCGGAGGGAUCAUUACAGAGUUCAUGCCCUACCGGGUAGAUCUCCCACCCUAUGUUAUUAUUACUUUGUUGCUUUGGCGGGCCGUUAGGCUCCGGCCCGACUACCGGCCCCGGCUGGUAAGCGCCCGCCAGAGGACCCAAAACCCUGAAUAUUAGUGUCGUCUGAGUACUAUAUAAUAGUUAAAACUUUCAACAACGGAUCUCUCGGUUCUGGCAUCGAUGAAGAACGCGC